AGCGAACGCUGGCGGCAGGCCUAACACAUGCAAGUCGAACGGAUCCUUCGGGAUUAGUGGCGGACGGGUGAGUAACACGUGGGAACGUGCCCUUUGGUUCGGAACAACUCAGGGAAACUUGAGCUAAUACCGGAUGUGCCCUUCGGGGGAAAGAUUUAUCGCCAUUGGAGCGGCCCGCGUCUGAUUAGCUAGUUGGUGAGGUAACGGCCCACCAAGGCGACGAUCAGUAGCUGGUCUGAGAGGAUGAUCAGCCACACUGGGACUGAGACACGGCCCAGACUCCUACGGGAGGCAGCAGUGGGGAAUCUUGCGCAAUGGGCGAAAGCCUGACGCAGCCAUGCCGCGUGAAUGAUGAAGGUCUUAGGAUUGUAAAAUUCUUUCAGCGGGGACGAUAAUGACGGUACCCGCGGAAGAAGCUCCGGCUAACUUCGUG
rnacentral:rRNA from 1 species